rnacentral:lncRNA from 1 species
CAUUUUGUAUGUAUCUGCAAAAGGAAAAUUUUCUCCAAAAUAGGACUUGACACUCAUGGUUUGCACAAUUCAACAAUUCAAUCUUAACACAUUAACAACUCAAAUAACCUAGCCUAAGAAGUAAGUAAAUAUAUUUUAUGAGAGCUUGAUAGACUUACCUUUCAUUUUAUUAUUUUAUUUAUUUUUGUACUUAGGACAUUAUCGAACUUUUUGACGCGAGACAUGAUGACAACCCAAGCACCAUGUUCCGGUUACUCAAUU